GACGAACGCUGGCGGCGUGCUUAACACAUGCAAGUCGAGCGGUAAGGCCCUUUCGGGGGUACACGAGCGGCGAACGGGUGAGUAACACGUGGGUGACCUGCCCUUAGCUCUGGGAUAAGCCUGGGAAACUGGGUCUAAUACCGGAUAUGACUCCAUAACGCAUGUUGUGGGGUGGAAAGCCUUGUGCGGCUAGGGAUGGGCCCGCGGCCUAUCAGCUUGUUGGUGGGGUGAUGGCCACCAAGGCGACGACGGGUAGCCGGCCUGAGAGGGCGACCGGCCACACUGGGACUGAGACACGGCCCAGACUCUACGGGAGGCAGCAGUGGGGAAUCUUGCGCAAUGGGCGAAAGCCUGACGCAGCGACGCCGCGUGGGGA
rnacentral:rRNA from 1 species